rnacentral:guide_RNA from 1 species
GUAUAUAUGCAACGGUAAGAAAUGUCGUGGGCAGAACAGAUUUAUUAUGGAU